rnacentral:rRNA from 1 species
ACAGAGGGGGCAAGCGUUGUUCGGAAUUACUGGGCGUAAAGGGCGUCUAGGCGGCUUGCUAAGUCUUGUGUGAAAUCUCCCGGCUCAACUGGGAGGGUGCAUGGGAAACUGGCAGGCUUGAGACUCGAAGGGGGGUGCGGAAUUCCCGGCGGAGCGGUGGAAUGCGUUGAUAUCGGGAGGAACACCCGAGGCGAAGGCGGCACCCUGGUCGAGGUCUGACGCUGAAGCGCGACAGCGUGGGGAGCGAACGGGA